AUGGUGGUGUCGGACUCAUCGUCCGACGAGUCCGAGACACACUCCUCCCGUGAAGACGAGGAGGAGGAAGAAGAAACCUCUCCUCCUCCAGUGGGGGGAGGAAAGAAGAGGAAGGCCACCCUAGUAGGGGAGGCCGAGGGGUCCAAGAAGAGGAAAACCCCUCCGCCGGACUACGCCCCCGACACCGACGAGGACGAAGAGGAGUGGCCGGAUAGGGCCAAGCGUCCGCGAAAUCAUAAGUUUUCGGAUACCAGAGUAACUCGUGAUAUUCCUUUUGUUGCACAGCUUUCCCUGAUGUCGAAUAUAAUCAUGCAGCCCGCCCAAGGACGGGCUCAACGAGUCGUCGAGCGGCUCCCUGGAUUCAUCGGACGUGAAUUCAGUUCCGCCCGCUGCCUCCCCCUGCGUUGUGGAUGA
rnacentral:rRNA from 1 species